GUUGAAAAAUUUCACAUCAUCGUAUUACAAGUACAAAUCUAAACUACAUAGAAAUAGAAACUAGUUUUCUUCCAUUCUACAAAUCACGAAACCCUUUCAUAUGAGAAGAUCAAAAUCCCUACUCCAAAUCACAAACAACAAAUCCCUAAAUCCCUUUGGUGCAAAAUUAUCAAUUCCAAGAACCCUAAAUCCCUAAAUUUCUUAUCAUUCUCAGUUGAUAAAUCCCAAACGACUCACAAACCCUUCGAAACUGACUAAUCCCUUCUCGAUUGGUUUCGUUCCCACUGAAUAUCCCUCCAAUUGAAAUUAUCCCUGAAUAUCCCUCUCACGAAGCAAAAAUAAAAGUAUGAAUCCCUAAUCCCUCUCCCAGUCACGAUGCUUCAAUCCCUAAUUCCUCUUACGGAGCUUCAAUCUCUUAGCCACCGAUUCUAUUUAUUGAAUCGGAGUUUAGUUCGAAGCUCAAUCGUAGUAUCAACAACGCCUCAGCUCGAAGUUUAAUAUCAAUUUCGACAGAUGCUGUUUAUAGUCCAUACUCCAACUCUGCCUUUCUUUGAUCAAGACAUUUGUUGUUGCUUAAGAUAGAGUGUCUUCAAGAAGGCACAUGUGGUGUAUUUUUUUAAUAUCUGAUUUUCAUGUACAAGACUGUUAACAAAAUUCUGGUGCAAAUAGGAUGUUUCUGCUGAUGCUGGUUGUUGUUAGGGGUGGUACAGUUACUCUAUGUUAUAAUUAUAUUCUCUGAAUUUUAAUUAGAUAGUUGAUCUGCUCAUUGUUUCUUUUCAAUUUUCUCUGAAUUUUAAUUAUAUAACUUUUAUUUUGCAGAUGAUGAAUAACGAUAUCGAUGAAGAAAUGCAAGAUUUUGAAGAUGAAGAGGUGUAGAUGUUUAAGUUUUUUUAAUAGGAUAUACAUUUUGAAGAUGAUAGUUUGAUGGUGAAUGAUUCACAUUAGGAUAUACAUUUAAUAUGUUGGUUUGAUUGUGAAUGAUUGACAAUAUUUAGGACAACUUUAUGUUGAUUGAUGUUAUUUUGAUACUGUAUAUAUGAAAGAUAAUCAUUUUAGUUUAAUAAUUUGUUAUGUCUUUUAUUAUUUCA